rnacentral:rRNA from 1 species
AACGAACGCUGGCGGCAUGCCUAACACAUGCAAGUCGAACGAGACCUUCGGGUCUAGUGGCGCACGGGUGCGUAACGCGUGGGAACCUGCCCUUAGGUUCGGAAUAACUCCCCGAAAGGGGUGCUAAUACCGGAUAAUGUCUUCGGACCAAAGAUUUAUCGCCUUUGGAUGGGCCCGCGUUGGAUUAGCUAGUUGGUAGGGUAAAAGCCUACCAAGGCGACGAUCCAUAGCUGGUCUGAGAGGAUGAUCAGCCACACUGGGACUGAGACACGGCCCAGACUCCUCCGGGAGGCAGCAGUGGGGAAUAGUGGACAAUGGGCGAAAGCCUGAUCCAGCAAUGCCGCGUGAGUGAUGAAGGCCUUAGGGUUGUAAAGCUCUUUUACCCGGGAUGAUAAUGACAGUACCGGGAGAAUAAGCUCCGGCUAACUCCGUG